GUAGGUGAACCUGCGGAAGGAUCAUUAACAUGAUAUAGUAUUUUCACCCCACUUUUCGUACGAAUCUUAAUGGAUUUUCUUCUACUUUUUCAUUUUUUACCCCCUUCUUUUUUACAAAUCAUCUAGACUGAUAUUAUACACAUAAUCAAUAACGCUAAAACAACUCUUAGCAACGGAUAUCUUGGCUCUC
rnacentral:misc_RNA from 1 species